rnacentral:misc_RNA from 1 species
CACCAUUCGACUACAUCAUUGGCACAGAUGUUGUUUACGCAGAGCAUCUCUUGGAACCACUGUUGCAGACAGUAUUUGCUUUGUCUGGACCCAAAACCACAAUUUUGAUGGGGUAUGAGAUCCGUUCUACAAGUGUUCAUGAGCAGAUGCUUGAUAUGUGGAAAAGAAACUUUGAAGUGAAAAUCGUUCCAAAGGCUAAGAUGGACAGUAAGUACCAGCAUCCAAGCAUCCAACUUUACAUCAUGGGAUUAAAGCCUCCAUCUGGGAGUAUAGAAAACAUGACUCAUAAGAUUGAUCAGCAAGCUGAUGAAGUUGAAACUGGAAGUGAAAUACCAAAAGAUGACAAUGGUGGGAAUAGUAAUAACAUGAAUAACACGGAUUAUUGCAAUAAUGAAAAAGCUCAAGAAGAUUGUGAACUAGCGAUAAAGUUUCCAAAAGCAAAACUUACUGACUGGGAAGCAAGAAGGCUUGGCUCAAUGGCUGCUCGGCUUCUUCGAGAUGUCAAGAUAACAUAAACUUUCAGCUCUGGCAUUUGCGAUUUAUCAUUUGUAAUUAGCAGUUUGCAUGGGAUCUAAAUGCUUUGCUUUCAUUGAAUUUAUUAUCAGUGUCUAAACGCCUGACUUCAAAUUUUGUGGAUGCAUUGGAACAAGACCGGAUAUGAAUGAUACAGCAUAUGCUGCUUCCAAUUUGAAGUAAAUAUUCAGGCCAUUGGCACUGAAGAACUCCUUAUUCUAGUUCUGUUUGGAUCAAAACAAGCAAGGUGGGAGCCUGGAGGGUACCAUCUGGUUUAUGGAAACUUAGACCGAUGAAAUGGAUCCUUGGGAAAUAAGAUCUGAACAAUGGACAUUGAAAUGGAGGGGGUGCCAGCAACUGAGCAUGCUGAAAGUAUCGUAGUCAUUGCAAUUGCAUGAUAAACACAAGUGAGUCCUGACAAGCGAAGCUGACUUUCAACAGUUGCAGCAGAUAUUUAAGAACUUUCAAUUAUGCAUGUGAACAGCAUAUGAAAAGCUUAUAAUUUGUUUUCUGGCUGUAUUGCUCCCUUUCUCUCUCUCUCUCUCUCUCUC